rnacentral:rRNA from 1 species
CACGUAGGGCGCAAGCGUUGUCCGGAUUUAUUGGGCGUAAAGAGCGUGUAGGCGGCUUGGUAGGUCCGCUGUGAAAACUCGAGGCUCAACCUCGAGAUGUCGGCGGAAACCACUUGGCUAGAGUCCGGAAGAGGAGAGUGGAAUUCCGUGGUGUAGCGGUGAAAUGCGCAGAUAUCAGGAAGAACACCUAUGGCGAAGGCAGCUCUCUGGGACGGUACUGACGCUGAGACGCGAAAGCGUGGGGAGCGAACAGG